UUCCUUCUUCUUCCGUCAUCUGCUGCUGCUGCUGCUGCUGCUGCUGCAUCUUUCGGCUGCUACCACUGCUCGGGGCUAGCGCGCUCGACGCGCAUUUCGCAGCGCAUUGCCAUGUCGUGACUCCGGCGGAGUUGCUGUGCCUCUCUCUCUCUCUUGGGCGCGUCUCUCGUUCUCUCUCCACGCGCGGCAUCUCUCUCUCUCUCUCUCUCUCUACUAUAAGGGGACCGCCUCAGGUAGCUUUGGUUCACGCUUCAGGAUGGAUGUAGAGGCAGGAGUACUUCGAAGAAUGGGCAGGGAUCUGUCUGUUGAUUUAGGGGAUGGCUACACAGGGCAUGACUGUUAGUUGUGGCAGGAUGGGAUCUCCUUGCUAUUGUUCUACUGGGUUAGGAUGCCGCCUUCUCAACUAAUGAAGAGCAUCGCUUGAGCCUUCUGUUGUGAACAAGGGAAGAUGAUUUCGCACGAUCAAGAUCAUGAAUUUGUUCAGUGGGGUCUCCAGCUCUUUGACAGCAAUCCAUAUUCCGAUUGCGGGUACUGUAGCACCGUGACUAAGGAUAAUUUAGACUACUAUCAGGGACCCUACUUCGAGGAAGAUGAUUAUAGCAUGGAAUGUGUGAAUGUGGAUAGUGAUGAACUUAUAGCACGUGUUCUUCAAGAGGAACUAUCUCAGCUCACUGUUACAGAAGCAGAUCAAUCUGUGCAUGAAGAACCUGAACAGUUGCAACCACCUUUCUUCUUGCACGAUUGGCCUGACCAAUCUAUUCAAAACUAUGCUUCAGGACAGGAGGAAGCGGAAGCUAUCUUACAUUGUGCAGGACAGGAGGAAGCGGAAGCUAUCUUACAUUGUGCAGGACAGGAGGAAGCGGAAGCUAUCUUACAUUCCAGUUCAUGUCCUAGCCCUGAUGAAGAGGCUUGCUGCAGGGAAGACUGGCCAUAUUCCUUAGAGCUGCCAGAUGAGUAUGCCUAUGAUGGCGAACUGGGAAGGAGGUUAAAUCAGAUGAUUUGUGUUCAACAUGUGCCAAAAACCAAUGGUGAAAUUCCCUCGGUGGAUGAAGCGACUUUAGAUCAUCAACGGCUACUUGAGAGAUUGCAGCUUUAUGGAUCUGGUGGAGCGCAAAGUUCAAGGAGAUGGUAACUGUCAGUUCCGAGCCCUGUCUGAUCAGAUCUACCACACUGCUGAGCACCAUGACUUUAUAAGACAGGAUAUCGUUAAACAGCUGAAGUCUUGCCCAGAGAUAUAUGAGGGAUAUGUGUCUAUGCCUUAUGAUGACUAUUUGGAGAAGAUGUCCAAGACUGGUGAAUGGGGUGAUCAUGUCACAUUGCAGGCUGCUGCAGACAUGCUUGGCGUUAAAAUAUUUGUCAUAACUUCUUUCAAGGACACAUGCUACAUUGAGAUUCUUCCAAAUGAUCAAAAGUCUAAACGAGUUAUAUUCUUGAGUUUUUGGGCAGAGGUGCAUUACAACUCAAUACACCUGGAGGGAGAUGUAUCUCCGUCUAAGAUGAAGAAGAAGAAAGGAUGGCGGAUGUUUCAACACAAGCACUUGGAGUCUUCAGAGGAAUAUCACAGACAGAGGGUCUGAUAGGUUCCGUUUCUUCUCCAAAAGAAAUGGAACUGACUCAUCUAUCACUGCGGAGGAAUUCCUAUUAUCUUUCUGUUAUGUACUUCCAGGACGUGCUUUCAUAGUUCGCAUAACAAAGGGAGGAGCUUCAAUCUUUCUUGUUCGACCGGCCUCGGCUCUGUUGUACAUCUCCUAACCUUGCCCGAGACUUUUCCUUUUGGCUUUAUUCUUUGAAUAAAAUGGUUUCAUCCUGUGGAAUUCUUUCACAGUACAGCUAGGCAUGGCAUUUUAUUUUCUUCUCCUCAGA